GGCCACAGCCAUAUUACCCUGCAGCCCAAGACCGGUUACUCACUAAAGCUAAGCAGGGCUGAGCCUGGUUAGUACCUGGAUGGGAGACCACUAGGGAACACUAGGUUGCUGUUGGAA
rnacentral:rRNA from 1 species